UACGGAGGGUGCAAGCGUUGUUCGGAAUUAUUGGGCGUAAAGCGCGUGUAGGCGGUUUAUUAAGUCUGAUGUGAAAGCCCCGGGCUCAACCUGGGAAGUGCAUUGGAUACUGGUAGACUUGAAUACGGGAGAGGGUAGUGGAAUUCCUAGUGUAGGAGUGAAAUCCGUAGAUAUUAGGAGGAACACCGGUGGCGAAGGCGGCUGCCUGGACCGAUAUUGACGCUGAGGUGCGAAAGCGUGGGGAGCAAACAGG
rnacentral:rRNA from 1 species